CCUACGGGAGGCAGCAGUGGGGAAUCUUGCGCAAUGGGCGAAAGCCUGACGCAGCCAUGCCGCGUGAAUGAUGAAGGUCUUAGGAUUGUAAAAUUCUUUCACCGGGGACGAUAAUGACGGUACCCGGAGAAGAAGCCCCGGCUAACUUCGUGCCAGCAGCCGCGGUAAUACGAAGGGGGCUAGCGUUGCUCGGAAUUACUGGGCGUAAAGGGAGCGUAGGCGGAUAGUUUAGUCAGAGGUGAAAGCCCAGGGCUCAACCUUGGAAUUGCCUUUGAUACUGGCUAUCUUGAGUAUGGGAGAGGUAUGCGGAACUCCGAGUGUAGAGGUGAAAUUCGUAGAUAUUCGGAAGAACACCAGUGGCGAAGGCGGCAUACUGGCCCAUUACUGACGCUGAGGCUCGAAAGCGUGGGGAGCAAACAGGAUUAGAUACCCUGGUAGUCCACGCUGUAAACGAUGAGUGCUAGUUGUCGGCAUGCAUGCAUGUCGGUGACGCGAGCUACGACAUAAGUACACUCCGCCGUCGGG
rnacentral:rRNA from 1 species